UACAAUUAUCCUCAUAUUGAUUCAAAUUGCCAUCAAAAGUGUAACCUGUUUAAAAAUAGUUAUAAAAUAAACUAGAUUUAAUAAGAUUUACAAGUAAAAUCACCUGAAACUUUAUGUAACUCAACCCAAACCCAAACCCAAAAUCAAGUGAAUUGUUAGCAGCAAAAGUAAUGGCAAAUCAACAAGUUGAUUGCAAUAAAUCUGUCAAAACCAAACCAAAUUCAAUCACGAUUAAACUCUGGAAAUAUUUCAACAUUAAUCCAAUACAUUGGUCACCAAAUAACCAUUUACACCGUUUGAUCAAACUCAUUGUAAUCAUCUGUUUAAGCCUAACCAUUGGUUACAUCCUUAACUCAUCAGAUUAUUUCAAGAAAGUUUCGUUCUACUUGAUUCGGAUAUUUCUUCUCAAGGUUAAAUUAUUUUGGGAUUGGUCUUAUGUUGGCCAAAAUCGAUGUUUACUUUUCAACAAUCAACCAUCAAUCUUAAUUAAACAAGCCAAAAAGGAUCCACAAUCAGUUGCAACAGUUUCAUUACCAAACCAUUUACCUUUCCAGUGUUACUCAUGUCAAGAUUUAAAUAAGAUUAAAAGAUUAACUUUAUCAGCCCAUUCCAGAGAUGAGAUUGAGGAUGAUAUUUUGAAUAAAGUACCCUUCAUUGUUUCACAUGAAAAUUCAAGCAACAUUAGUAACCCUAUUCAAUCAUGGCCCAUAUUUUCAAAUGCAAACCAUUCAAUUGAGAUUCUCAGUCAGGUAAGCCUUUUUGAUUGUCAAACAAAUGUGUAAACCUAUUAACUAAUGCAUCUAACUAACUCAACGUGAUAUUAACCUCACUAUUAAUCACUUUGCUCAACACUAAUUAAAAUAAUAACCAAAAAAAAGCAACUUCCAAAUCAAUAACUGGAAUUACUGGGCUAACCACAGUUGAACCCAAUCCAGCAAUCAAUAUAAAUGGGUUUCAACCUGACAUAAUAUAUUUCAACAUUCACUAUUUCAUAAUGCAAUUAAUUACAAUCUAAAUCAGGAUUAUUUGUCAAAUUAUACGCAAAAAGGUUGUAAAUCAACUGUUAAUAUAACGAUUACCUGAUGCUUGGUAAUUCCGAUAACAAAUACAAUGUAAUACAAACAAUAGAAAUGCGCUUUUUUAAAAUAUGACUUCAUGAAAAGGUAACUUGUGAGAGGUUUCAGAUUAUUUUGUUAUACAAGAACGAGGCUUAAUUAUCUCUAAUAGCCACCAUCAACGAUAUCAUCUGUUGACAAUUAGCUGCACUUAAAUGAUCCCUUAGGCUUGGAUUAAUUGAUUUAUGAACACGUUUACUUAUUUCUGGUAGUGUUAACCAGUAAAUGUUUUGUAUAUACAGCAACAAUAACAGCAACAAUAUUUUGAUUUGGAUUUCACAGUAAAUUGCUGUUAAUGUCUGAAUCUGUCUGAAAAAGAUACUGAAAGCAUGAAAAUGGAAACAUUGAUUUGAAACAUUGAUGGAUAUAAAGAAGCACAUUUUAAUCUAAUUGAACUUGUACUGUUUAUUAUUAGAUUAUCUCAUUGAUUACCAGUUAAUAUGCUUUUCUGAUAUCUGUAUGUUAUGGUGUUACAAUUUAAGUUGAUGGUAAGCUUGAUAUUUGUUUGAGUUGAUAUUUGAUUUCUUACCAUUUACAAAUUGUAACCAACCCCUGCUACCAACUUUACCGUUAACCAUUAAUACUGAUGAUAAUUGUAGUGACCCAAUUCACAAUCAAUUUAACCUGAUAUUAAGUUGUCGGACCAUCAAGCCUGUUUGCGGUUAAAAGGUUACAAUUAUUUAUCAUCAGCCAUCCUCAUCUUUAGCAAACGGAAAUCCGACAUUUUGGUCUAAUUGCCUGAAGCCUCACCAAACUCAAUUUAACCAAAUGUUCAUUUUAUAUUAAGUAAAAGGUCAAUCCUAUCACUACAAGUGAUGAGAAUUGAAAAAAGCAACUUAUGAUUAUCUUGGUGAUGAUGACUGUGAUGGUCAAGAAUUUUUAAAAAGAUGAGCUUUGAAUGGGAAAGCAAAAUAGUAAUGAUAAUAGUUAGAAAAGAUUUAUUCAACUCUAGAUGAUAAUCAUGUCUGUAUGUUUGCUUCAAAUGUUCAAGUUACCUCGCCAAAUCAGCUGUUUAACAAUUUGAAUCGCCAAUCUAAACCUUGGUUUGCCAAUUGGGAAAAUUGUGCCUCCAAGAGCAAGAAAAAGAUCCGACAAUUGUACCAACGACCAGAUUUUUUACCCAAUUUCAUAGAGCUAACUCAUCCCAAUUGGAUCUUAGCCUCAGGUUCAAAUUUUACGGCCAAAAGAUGGAAACAUAUUGAUUUGACAAAAGCAACAAAAAUUGGUAUUGUUGUACAAAUAAUUGGACACAAUGGAAUUAGGUUAACACCAAGAAAUGAAUGUUAUCGAUUUGGUUGUGACUCUAUUGAGAUAACAAUUAAACCAUCAGAUUUCUUGAUUUACAAUACGAUGAUAUGGAAGCUGUUUUAUUUACCAACCAAUGAAUCACUAAACCUUGCUUUCGUUCUCGGAGGAUCCCAUGAAACUUAUUGAAGUUCCACCCUUUAGUUGAUAAAAUUUCUAGUUACAUUUUGUGUUUGUUUGUCAAAAAAGUGACUGGUUUUUUUCCUUCAGUUUUUGUAAGCCGAUAAUACUAAUACGAUCACUGAAAAUGGACCAACCAAAAAGUUCCAAUUGUUUGUGGGCUGGAUCCAUUUCACAAAUAUCGCCGCCAUUUUAGGAACUCAAAAAUUAUCACAAGAUUGCCAAACGAAUUUCAAAAUGGCGAGGCAAAAUGCAUGAUUCUCUAUCCAUAUUGUGUGAU